AUGGCAGGUACCGGCGAAAACGACGAUAGCACUCCCAAGGAUUUCAAGGAAUGUGUCAGCCAAGAGCAACUACAAGCUACCGUAGAGAAGGUUCAAGACGGGAUGAACGAGGCAAUCAAGAAGGCUGUUACUGAUGUGCUCAUUGAACUCAACCUCGGCAACAGCAUCGAGCGGUUCGACAAACGGAUAUCCACAUUAACUGACAGGGUUACCGAGUUGGAAACCCGUUUAACAACCAACAACGACGACGUGUCCGGCAGCAACAACAGUGGACAAAUGCCAGAAGACACGGUGUAUGAUGCUAAUGGGAACAUAAAUCAAGCAGCUACACGACAAGCAAGAUUGCGCCAACGUCUUCGUCGUAACACUCAAGGUAUGGGUAGUGUCGUGGUAUUCUCUCGGGGGGUGCAAGACGACAUAUGCCACAAGGUGGCUUUGUGUGAGGGCAAGACUACUGCCGGAAUAUCCAGGGACGGGUAUGCAAGUAGCACGCGCUAG
rnacentral:rRNA from 1 species